AUGGAUACAACUGGAGAGCAUUAUGCUAAUGAAAUAAGCCAGGUAGUGAAAGACAAAUACCAUAUGAUCUCACCUAUAAGUGGAACCUAAUCAACAAAACAAACAA